rnacentral:lncRNA from 1 species
UUUGGUCCUUGGAGCUUUCCCAGCGCUUUCCCAGGUUUAUCCUGUUUUAUGUGUGAGGAUAGCAAGACAUGGAGAGUAAAAUGUCUCGCUCAAGAUCACGCCUGCAGGAAACGGGCACGCUGGAAGCUACGUGCAAGUCCAGGUACCAAUGGUCUUAUUUGUCACCUGGCUGGAAAGAAUUGGUGAUAUUGGGAUGCUCCUGCACUGAGUCAGCCGACAGCAUUCUGAGAGAAGUUCUGGAGCCAGCCCUGUGGGAGACCGCUGCUGGUUUUUAGAGCCAGGCUGUGAAGACCCCUCCCCCAAAACAAGUGUUUCCAACAUCAGGAAGACCACAUGAAUGAGAGAAGCUGAUGAGUUCACACCCGAGUUUAUCUCGCAUCCUCUUACCUCGGAGUCUGUACGGGUGCAGCAUCGCCUAUCGCCUUGCCCGCCUUUCUCACCAGCUGCCGCUUCACAAAGACAAGAGCGUAUAUGUAAAGGAGGAGAAGCCCCUGACGAAAUCCGAACUACCAAUGGUUGUGCUUUCCGGCCCACUUGUCCAGAGACCUUCCAGGAAGCUCUGUCACCUCUUCAGUCCCAGGACAGAGCCAGCAGGCUCUUGGCAAAGCAGAAACAGGUACCCAGAUGUGUUCAAAGCUUCUUAGCAAAGGAACUUCAUUCCUUUGUGUUAUCGUGUCUGUAGCAGAGUGACAAGUACACGUGCGUUAAUUUUGUUUAUUUUAAAACAGCUGCAUUGGGGCUCAUUUUCCACAGCACAGAACUCACUGAUUUUGAGUACAAAAUUCAGUGAUGACUCAGCAAAUCUACAAAGUAUUGCAGCAGCAGCACCACCAGGAAUGGGUUUGGGAACAUUUUCUUCCCCUUAACCCUGUGCCUCAGGCGUCUUUACUCUGAAUCCUCUGCUCCCAUACCAGGCGACACCUGUCUAUCAGUUUGCCUUUGGGGACGUCCCAUAUUUCAUUCCUGUGCCCCAUUAAGUCACUGAAAUCUGUGGGUUGCUUGUUUUCACAGCUUAGUUGAGUCUCUCUUGCUAGAUUUCAAAGG